rnacentral:rRNA from 1 species
UACGAAGGGGGCGAGCGUUGUUCGGAAUUACUGGGCGUAAAGGGCGCGUAGGCGGCGACUCUAGUCAGAUGUGAAAGUCCUGGGCUUAACCUGGGGACUGCAUUUGAUACUGGGUUGCUUGAAUUCGGGAGAGGAUAGCGGAAUUCCCAGUGUAGAGGUGAAAUUCGUAGAUAUUGGGAAGAACACCGGUGGCGAAGGCGGCGACCUGGUCCAUUACUGACGCUGAGGCGCGACAGCGUGGGGAGCAAACAGG